rnacentral:tRNA from 1 species
AAGAUUUUAAGUUAUGUAAACUAAAAACCUUCAAAGUUUUAAAAGGUGUAUACCAAAUCUUG